rnacentral:snRNA from 1 species
AUAGUCAGGGGAGAUACCAUGAUCAUGAAGGUAGUUUUCCCAGGGUAAGGCUCAUCAAUUGCACUAUGGGUGUGCUGACCCCUGCCAUUUCCCCAAAUGCGGGAAACUCGACUGCAUAAUUUGUGGUAGUGGGGGACUGCAUUCGUGCUCUCCCCUG